rnacentral:rRNA from 1 species
UACAGAGGUCUCAAGCGUUGUUCGGAUUCAUUGGGCGUAAAGGGUGCGUAGGCGGCAGUGCAAGUCAGGUGUGAAAUCCCGGGGCUCAACCCCGGAACUGCAUUUGAUACUGCUCUGCUAGAGUACUGGAGAGGAGACUGGAAUUUACGGUGUAGCAGUGAAAUGCGUAGAUAUCGUAAGGAAGACCAGUGGCGAAGGCGAGUCUCUGGACAGUUACUGACGCUGAGGCACGAAGGCCAGGGGAGCAAACGGG